CAGCCCCGGUGCGGACGGGACGGCACCGGCGGCCGCGGGGGAAUGCCGGCACCGCCAGCCUGCCGGGGGCUGCCGGGCACGGCUGCUGGCGUUUCCCGAGCCGCUGAGCCCCUCGGGCAUGCUCCGCCUGGGAGCCCGGUGUGAAGCCAGCCCUGGCCCUCGGGAUGGGAUAUUCCAGCCAGCUCCUUCUGCACCCCAAAUCCACCCCAAAUCCUUCCCUGGGGCAGGGAAGGGGCUGUCCCCUGUCCCCCCUCCCCGGGGAAAGGCAUCACUCCUCCUUUAUUAAUAAAUUUAAAGCUGAGUGGG